rnacentral:lncRNA from 1 species
AGCGAUACGAAUACGUGUAGUUACCUAGCUUAUGCUCAAACUAUGAGUGAACACAGAGUGAACGCAGAGUGAACGCAGAGUGAACGCAGAGUGAACGCAGAGUGAACGCAGAGUGAACGCAGAGUGAACGCAGAGUGAACGCAGAGUGAACGCAGAGUGAACGCAGAGUGAACGCAGAGUGAACGCAGAGUGAACGCAGAGUGAACGCAGAGUGAACGCAGAGUGAACGCAGAGUGAACGCAGAGUGAACGCAGAGUGAACGCAGAGUGAACGCAGAGUGAACACAGAGUGAACUAUUAACUGGAUUAACAAUUUGUAGAAUCCACUUCAUACACAAACGAGGGAAUCACUGAGACAUUACCUUGCUGUUGUGCUAUCCUCUGUAUGAUUUUUUUACCAUGUUUUAUGAUAAUGUGCAGGAAUCGAAUUAGCAGAGACUACUCCCUUGUUGAAUAGAAUACAAGGAGAAAAUGCUACCUUGGGAUGUUUCGUCGAAAGUGUUCCUCUAGGCUUUCCAAGCAUCUACUUUACAUGGUUGGUAGAUGACAAGGUUUUACAAGAUGUCUUCGACGAGCAGAAAUAUACCUUCGACUACGACAACCAUGGCUGUAAUUUGACGAUUGAUGACCUUCAAUUAACUGAUGAGGGAAGAUAUAAGUGUGAGGUUCGUUACUCGCUCACAACGGUGUGGAAAAGUACAACGCUGACAGUAGCAGUACCACCACAGUCUGUGUACAUCAUCGACGUGACAACUGGUAUUGUAUGGAGCAACCACUCGCACAUCCCACAAACCAGCAGCCAAAUGUUCACCUGCUUGGCUACAGACACCAAACCGGCGGCAGAAAUAACAUGGACAAUCAAUGGAAAGACUGCAGGCAUGGAGAGCAAUGAAGAAGUAGUCGGAUCCAGAUUAUUUAACACGAGUAGCACGAUUACCGUACCGCCCGUGCAGAGUGACCAACGAGAGAACCUCACGUGUACAGCCACUGGGUCUGGACGAAGAGUUGCUGUGACACUUCGCUUGAUUGGUCAACAAUCAGAUGGGAGGAGAGAGAAGUCAACUGCUCAGCCGUCAAGAAGUUCCCCAAAUUCUACAAUCAGAACGCCAA